AUCGAAACUCCCAUUGGUGAAUGUAUAUAACAUUAUUUUUUGACUCUAGAUUGGACAAGAAACAACCUUAAUGUUCUAUCACUUGCGCAUUUAGGGCUCCCCUACUUCCUACGUUGAAGUCGUAGACCCUACUUAAUGGGAUUUGAGGAAGUAAUGGUGGAGUCUCUAAAUACUCAUCUAAGUUCUUGUGCUCAGCUAUGCUCAUGUUCUCAAUCAAACGGUCAAUGUUUUGAUCGAUGACCUUUUGAUUAGUCUUCAAUUAACUCUUUUUUAAGGCCUAAUAUGUUGAAGUUGUUCCACAUCAGUUGUGAAAUGGGCUGUUGGUCAAUUUAUAGAUGUGAGAGAAAACAUUACGUUUUGAGCUAACUUUUGGAGUUGAGAAAACCCAAUAAUACCCAACACUAAUAUCAAAGCAUAGGUUGUCAACAAGUCUUAGGCUCAAUACUCACGGGAGAUGCGGGCUUGUGUGAAGGGGAGAUGGGUUUGGUCUCACCCAUGGCUCAUUGUGUGAGGGGAAGACAGAUUUGGUAUCCCGCAGACCCAAUGUGUUAGGGAGAGACAAGUUUAGUUUCCCGCAAGGCCUAAUAUAUGAGGGGAAAAUUGUUGAGGUUGUCCAACAUCGAUUGUGAAAGGAGUUGGUGGUCAGUUAAUAAGUAUGAGAGAAAGCCCCACCUCUUAAGUUAACUUUUGGAAUUGAGUAGGCCCAAUACCACCCAACAAUAGUAUUAGAGCCCAGGUUAUCAAUAGGUUUCGCGCAGGGCCUAAUGUGUGAGGAGGAAACGGAUUUUGUUUCCCGCAAAGGCCUGAUGUGCGAGGAGGAGGUCGUUAAGGUCGUCCCACAUCGAUUAUGGAAUGGAUUGGUGGUCAGUUUAUAGGUGUGAGAGAAAAUUUUACCUCCUGAGCUACGUUUUGACCUUGAGAAGACCCAAUAUCACCCAACAUGAUAAACCUCACGAACACACUUGUAUAAACACUUGGUUUUGUACUAGAAAAAUGUGAAAGUUGUAAUUUGAAUUUUGAUGGUUUUCAAUCCGAAUUUUAAUUUCUCUUAUUUAUUUGUUGUCGAGAAUCAUGUGUACAAAUUAACAACUUCUUCCUUUUAUUUUUCCUUUUUUGAUUCUCAUUAUUUUCAAAAUAC
rnacentral:lncRNA from 1 species